CAGAGCACCUCUGAAAGGAAGAGGAGUUCCAAGAAAGUGAGGCAGGGAAGCAGUGGUAUGCCUUCUUCCUACUGAGACAGAAGUUAAGUAAGAGGCUUUGGGUCAAGACUGUGACUGGAUUCAAAUCCUAAAGUUUUCGCUACACUGUGUGCUGUGGAUACUAAAAAAUCUGCAACAAAGAGAUGAAGAUUAAGAAAAAUUGUCAAGAAGGAAGGAAAAUUGUACCUACCCCUCGAAGAAUUCAUGAGGUGCUUGAGCAGACUACUUUGACCUCUUCUCAAACCUGCUAAGUGUGGACACACAAUAAAAGCACUUUUGGUGCAGAUAAACUGGAGAAGGGGCCUGUUUGUAUAGUUUUCUUUGAGGAAAUAUUCCCUGCAGGAAGUAUGCAGCAAAGAGAAAGGCUCAUAUGACAGAAUAUGUUAAAGCACAUUUUCUUUUUAUCUCUUUGCACAUCCCCACUUUGCCACCCACUUUAGCCCCUACCUACUCAAUCUCCUAUGUCACAAUUCCAGGUGCACUCAUCAGCAUGCAAAAAUCACAUAUGAGGUGGAUAUAUUUUCAGAUGAAGAUGGAUAAAUCAAAUCUGCAAAUGGAUAAUGACAUGGGCAAGUCAUCAAUUUACACUUGUAAACAACU
rnacentral:lncRNA from 1 species